rnacentral:tRNA from 1 species
GCCCCCGUAGCUCAGGUGGAUAGAGCAGCGGUUUCCUAAACCGCGGGCCGGGUGUUCGAGUCACCCCGGGGGCGCCA